AGUGACACGGUUACCCGAUAUCGAUUUUUGAAACGAAUCAUUCAUGGGUUCACCUCCUAGGUUCACCAACCAAUAGAAUUUUAUUAUUUCAAAUUCGAUAUUUUUAAAAAAGGAAACAAAAUAUUCUCAAAUUAUAUUAUGUUUUUAAAAUAAAAAAGUAAAAAAAGAUAAUAGUUAUAGAAAAAAAUUAAAAAAAAAUAUAUUUUUAAUGUUGUCAACAAUACACUAAACCCUAAAUCCUAAUCCCUAAACCCUAAAUCAUAAACCCUAAACCCCUGGGUAAACCCUAAACCCUUGGGUAAACCUUAAACCCUUGGAUAAAUCCUAAAAUCUAAAUAAAAAACGACUAAAACCCUAAACCCUAAAC
rnacentral:lncRNA from 1 species